UCUACCUAUCUGUUAUGUAUUUCAUCCUGCCAAGGAAUCCAACAAUCAGCUGUCUCCCGUUUCCCGAGAGUUCGCCGACCAGUUUUGUUUUCAGAAAAGACUACAGUUUAACUUCACCAGGCACAAUCAUCAGAAUGAGAUGCAGGAACAUAUUUUUUAUUUUACCAUUCAGUAUGAGAAACAUUUUACAAAUAAUCGUGUAUGCCCAAAAGGUAUUUGUGCGGAUCAGCGAAUCCGGUUUUUGUGGAAUAAUUCAAUUAAGGGCUAUGAUGUAGCAGCAGUGGAGAGUAAGACCAAUCAUACGGCUUCAUCCCACCCCGGCAGCAGAUGAGCGCUGGCGAAUGUUCUCAGCCACCUGGAGGAGGAGGUUCAGCGCGGAAAAAAUGUUACCAGACAUCGCCGAUCUGGUGUCUGGACUUUUUUGAUAAUUUCAUAGAGAUUGGGUGUGCAGAUGGGCGGUUGGAGUUCUGAGAGGGAACGACUGGUAACUUUAAGGGUAUAUAUGAAGCCGAAAACACCCACAACAAUGGGGUAACUAACAUAAAGCUCGCCGGUGACAAAGUGAUAUUCGCACGGUUGAGUGGACGAAUCGAUUCUCUGAGACUGGAAACGUACACGCAAGGUUGUCAGAUCGAUUGGGGAUUUACGUCUGCAUAUGGGCGAACUCACGUACGCACCGGUUCUUCAGGAAGCAUUAGUUUAUUUCAGCAAUCCGUCCACAACGUUGCCAGCUCAACAUAACACAUCCGAGGAGGAGCUUUGAUGUAUCCUGGAGUUUCACCAGUAGGGUCACCGAUGACAUGUUUGGAAGUGGCGGGCGGUACAGUCAUGACUGGCAGCCAGGGCCACACUGUUAAAGUGUUCCGACUCGAUAGCCACCUAUUGCAGUUCACCCUAAACGGCCAUUGCGGCCCUAUCACAUGUAUUUUCAUAGACCAGUGGCAGGCCGAGAUGGGCGCAUCUGGUCGCCAGGAUGGUGUGCUAUGUGUGUGGGGCUUGAACUAGAACAGCUCCUACAAGACAAUGGUUACGAGAGUGUUCAGCAGGCCGUUGGUAAGGGAGUGGAUAAUUUUUAUAGUGUCGAUUGUUGAUAACAGGGCCAUUUAAUGGCGCCGCAAAUAAAUAUAGAAAGUUA